AAUAAUAAUAAUAAUAAUAAUUGUGAACACGAUAAAAAAUGGAGUUGGAAAAUAAUUUUUUGUAUUUUUUUCAUUAGCAUUAACCCUAAAUUCAUGCUAAAUCAACUAAAGAAAGAGUAUCAGGGUGGGUGCCAUAAUUUAGCUUCAAUUCUGUACGUGGGUGUCCAUGUGGAGGUGGACCACCCUUGAGCAGUUGCAAUUUGUGCAAGCACAAAAUUGAAGUGAUGGUGAUCUUCUCCAUAAUUGUGGCUUUGAUGGAGAGCAGUAUUCAUGCUAUUUAGAAUAUAUUUGGUAGAAAGUUAAAAAAUUAAGUGCUAAAUGUUAUUCUUGUAAGUUUGAACCUUUAAAAUAGGUAAUUAUUAACCUAAUCCCUUAAGGUUAACUUUUCAAAAGGAUAUAAAUAUUAAUGAGGUGAAAA
rnacentral:misc_RNA from 1 species